UUUCUCUUUCUUCCUGUUAGCAUUACGUAAUCAUUAAUUUUUCCUUCUAAUCGUAGUGCUGUUUUGCUAAUCAUUUACUUACAGUUUCACCGAAAUAUCUGCCAUCGCUCUCUAUCGCUUUCCAAGCUCCCCUCAAAGCAAACUCUUGGAAAGUCCGAUUUAUCAACAGGGGCUAUCAUCGAUUCUCCUUUUCACUCUUCAGUCUCGCAAACAACGAACCUUCCCAUCUAAUUUUUCUUCGCUGUGUUCGUUCAAAAACUUCGGUUCAGCAUACACGACUCAAAAAACCGUCCCGUGCAAUGUUCAACUUCCUUUCAUUCAAAAAUAUCUUCUUAUCGUCUCUUUGCUCUGCACUGCGACCGCCGUGGAAUCGGAAACAGAGGUUUCUCUCCGUUCAAACUUUCAUCAUCUUCUUUCGCUUCGUCUUCAAAAAAUCCACUAGACGCUUGGAAAAAAUCUUCUUUUUUUUUCUUCGCUCAUCUCCGUCGAGGUUAGAGAACAGUUUCUCUCGACCAUCCUCUCGAUCAACUCAAGCUUCCACGUUUCUUCUCGAUUUCUCUUCUGUGUCCUCCUCUGUUUUACUUCGACAAUUUGUUAGUCAGCUUCGCUCCGGAUGCAUGAGAUUGUACAUGAUCGCGAAGAUCGUGCAGGCCGCGUAUACGCCGAGGGCCACCCACCAGAGAAGCUGUUCGUGGAGCCGCUGCUCGAAGUUCUUCAGCACCAACAAACCGAUCGUCAGACCCGCCAAUGCACCCGUCAGAUGCGCCACGUAGGAAACUGGCGGGCCUAUUUGCUCGGCUGCGUAUCUGUCGUAGAUCGCGAACCCCACGUCUGCACUCGCUGAAAAUGAAAAUCGUUUCGUUUUACGUUUCUUCUACUUACAGGUCUAUCGAGCUAAUUGCUUACAUAGGAGGAAGACGAGUCGAGUUGUCAGUGGAUUAUCAAGUUGUCGGGGUUAGGUAUCCGCUAAUUU
rnacentral:misc_RNA from 1 species